UGUGCCUUAUGAUAUAUGCCAUAUUCAUAUAGCCUACCUGUGUUUUCAUUUCUAGACAAAUAACUGCACAGGUGUAUUUCCAUGUCAGCUAUGACAAGUAACUGUAUAUAUAUAUAUAAGUCAUGAAUAAGUUAUUCAUGACUUUAAAUUGAAUGAACUCUAGAAUAGCACCUACGCACAUAUAUCAUACUGAGACGUGUCUAACGAUUUCAGAUUUAAAACAACCUAUUUUCAACUGUGAAAGCUCCGAGCUGCUUGUAUUUCAUUGCCAGGACGCAGAAAAGGAACAGUGACUGCAUGAGACUGAGGGCGAACAUCGAGUGAGUCUCGAGCCGUGCGAGGACUGCAGACUGCUCAGUUAACAGAUUGCACUCACUCCAGCCUCGCCGAAGUUGCUGUGGUGCUCUGUAGUCUCCAGAAGGAGCAGAUGAGCUGAACGAGAGCACAUAUGGCUGGAAACAAAGCUCCCCGCAGCAGCCUCGAUUCACAGCAAGAUGUAGCGAGAUACCUGGGAGUGCAUCUGACCUCUGUUAAUUCACGCUAACAGAGGAAACGCACGAGGAGAUGCACAGGGAGGUGUACUUGUUUUAAUACAGUGGAACAAUGAUAGCAUCUGCCUUGUGGGCUUUGUGUUGUUUACCCACAGCCCAGUUAGUCUGUGAUCAUGAGUUUUAAUUUCCACAACAAAGAGCAAAAGGAGAUCACGUUCACGUUAAGGCAAAAUUGUUUUUAUUAAAUUUAUUUUCUUUUGGUUCUCUCUCUUUAUUUAUUUCUUAUUUUUUUAGAAAAAAAAAUCUAGUCUACUAUAUGACAAAUAGAAAAAAAGGAAAGCCCCAUGAAAAGGUGAGAUUAAAUUAAAGCAAGAGCACUGGCAUACCUUUACCCAAAAACUACAGAGCAUAAAGCCUGUGGUCAACAAAGAUUUCAAACAAGACCAGGUCUGAAAAUGACAUGGUGGCUAGAAGGACAUUUUUCUUCUAUUAUGAAGGAGGUCACUGAUUGUAUAACUGAUGUAAUAUUGCAUAAUACAAGGUGUAGCCAUGAUUGUCAGAGCAGCACCAAAACUCUGGUGUUAGUCGAAACUAAAUUUAAGGCAAAAGCCUGCUGCCCAUGAUCAGCAUCUGGUCUUCAGAGAGUCCAAUCACCAUUUACCUUCAACAACUUCAGUCACUUCUUCCAAUUUAGCACAAAUUUAGUUUGUCUGCUGCAUCCACUCUGGUUGCUAUUAAGAGACUGUGCUCUAGAUAAAUUGAAUAUAAAUGAGGUGAGGAAGGAACGGAGGCCAUGGACAGAUGACUACAUCAACUACAAAUAAAUACAUUUUAAAAAUCUACCGAAAUGUCACAGAGAGCAUCUGAGACACAAUCUGUGAUCUAAAAAAAAAACUGUCAUGUAAGGCAUCAGUCAAACGAUA